rnacentral:rRNA from 1 species
AUGAACGCUGGCGGCGUGCCUAAUACAUGCAAGUCGAGCGAACGGACGAGAAGCUUGCUUCUCUGAUGUUAGCGGCGGACGGGUGAGUAACACGUGGAUAACCUACCUAUAAGACUGGGAUAACUUCGGGAAACCGGAGCUAAUACCGGAUAAUAUUUUGAACCGCAUGGUUCAAAAGUGAAAGACGGUCUUGCUGUCACUUAUAGAUGGAUCCGCGCUGCAUUAGCUAGUUGGUAGGUAACGGCUUACCAAGGCAACGAUGCAUAGCCGACCUGAGAGGGUGAUCGGCCACACUGGAACUGAGACACGGUCCAGACUCCUACGGGAGGCAGCAGUAGGGAAUCUUCCGCAGUGGGCGAAAGCCUGACGGAGCAACGCCGCGUGAGUGAUGAAGGUCUUCGGAUCGUAAAACUCUGUUAUUAGGGAAGAACAUAUGUGUAAGUAACUGUGCACAUCUUGACGGUACCUAAUCAGAAAGCCACGGCUAACUACGUG